AAGGGGAGCAAUCCCUGAUUAGAGUGGCAAACGGGUGAGUAACACGUGGGUGACCUGCCUUCGAGUGGGGGAUAACCUUCCGAAAGGAGGGCUAAUACCGCAUGACAUACCGUGUUUGGAUACACGGAUAUCAAAGCCGGGGAUCGCAAGACCUGGCGCUUGAAGAGGGGCCCGCGUCCGAUUAGCUAGUUGGUGGGGUAACGGCUCACCAAGGCUCCGAUCGGUAUCCGGCCUGAGAGGGCGGACGGACACACUGGAACUGAGACACGGUCCAGACUCCUACGGGAGGCAGCAGUGGGGAAUUGUUCGCAAUGGGCGAAAGCCUGACGACGCAACGCCGCGUGGAGGAUGAAGAAUUUCGGU
rnacentral:rRNA from 1 species